rnacentral:rRNA from 1 species
AGUGAACGCUGGCGGUAGGCCUAACACAUGCAAGUCGAACGGCAGCACAGUAAGAGCUUGCUCUUACGGGUGGCGAGUGGCGGACGGGUGAGGAAUACAUCGGAAUCUACUUUUUCGUGGGGGAUAACGUAGGGAAACUUACGCUAAUACCGCAUACGACCUACGGGUGAAAGCAGGGGAUCUUCGGACCUUGCGCGAUUGAAUGAGCCGAUGUCGGAUUAGCUAGUUGGCGGGGUAAAGGCCCACCAAGGCGACGAUCCGUAGCUGGUCUGAGAGGAUGAUCAGCAAGAUCGGAAGAGCGAGACGGUCCGGACUCCUACGUUACGCACCAGUAGUGAAUAUUGGACAAUGGGCGCAAGCCUGAUCCAGCCAGACCGCGUGGGUGAAGAAGGCCUUCGGGUUGUAAAGCCCUUUUGUUGGGAAAGAAAAGCAGCAUGUUAAUACCCCGCUGUUCUGACGGUACCCAAAGAAUAAGCACCGGCUAACUUCGUG